rnacentral:rRNA from 1 species
UGUACACGCUGUGACUAGCAUAUCAAUAAGCGGAGGAAAAGAAACUAACAAGGAUUCCCCUAGUAACGGCGAGUGAAGCGGGAAGAGCUCAAAUUUGAAAUCUUAAAGGGUUUCCCUUUACGAGUUGUAGUUUAAAGAAGUGUUUUCUGUUGAGGUUUUGGUAAAAGUUCUUUGGAAUAGGAACAUCAUAGAGGGUGAGAAUCCCGUAUUUGACCUUUACUUUCAACUUUGUGAUACACUUUCAAAGAGUCGGAUUGUUUGGGAAUGCAGUCCAAAAUGGGUGGUAAAUUUCAUCUAAAGCUAAAUAUUGGCGAGAGACCGAUAGCGAACAAGUACCGUGAGGGAAAGAUGAAAAGAACUUUGAAAAGAGAGUUAAACAGUACGUGAAAUUGUCAAAAGGGAAGCGUUUGACACCAGUGUUGUUUUUCUGAAAAUCAAUUAAAGAACUGUUUAUGCUAAGCUGUUUAGACUUUAUCAGCUAACUGUUUAGUUUUGAGCUUUUCUUUAAUGCACUUUUCAGUUAACAAGUCAACAUCAAUUUCUUUUGCUGUAAAAAAGCUUGAGGAAGGUGGCUUGAGAUUCGUCUUAAGUGUUUAUAGCCUCUUGACUUCUGCAGUCGGAGAGAUUGAGGUCUGCAGCGUAGAUCCUUCGGGGUUAAAUAGCAUUUGUGCUAAGCUAUAGCAUUUUUAUAGACAACUUGUUGACUAUAUUUAGUCUUGUGGCUUACUCGCUUAUGCUAUUUUACCUACGCUUAGGAUGUUGAAGAUAUGCGCGACACG